CCAGCAGAUAGACUUUAUUCUCCCUGUAGGAGAUGAUUUCUACCAGCAGAUGGUAAUAUUUCCACAGUUUUCCCCUGAAGUGAUGGCUGAUGGGAAAUGCUGCAACAUCUGAAGAGCACUUAAAGGCAGCGCAGAGAGGGAGCGUUGUCAUAUCUCCGUGAGGACAGCGAAUACUUCAGUCUACUCUUCAGCUCAGAGACCCAGAAUGGCGACAAGUCAAGUGGCCAUCCGGUCAGCUGAUCAGCUGUCAGCUCUGCUUAAGGAAAG